UACGUAGGGGGGCAAGCGUUGUCCGGAAUUAUUGGGCGUAAAGAGCUCGUAGGCGGUUUGUCGCGUCUGCUGUGAAAACCUAAGGCUCAACCUUGGGCUUGCAGUGGGUACGGGGCAGACUAGAGUGCGGUAGGGGUGACUGGAAUUCCUGGUGUAGCGGUGAAAUGCGCAGAUAUCAGGAGGAACACCGAUGGCGAAGGCAGGUCUCUGGGCAUUAAACUGACGCU
rnacentral:rRNA from 1 species